rnacentral:rRNA from 1 species
GAUGGACGCUGACAGAAUGCUUAACACAUGCAAGUCGAUGGGGAAGUGGUGCUUGCACCAUGGCAACCAUGGCGGACGGGUGAGUAACGCGUAAGGGACUUACCUGCAGGACUGGGAUAACAGGGGGAAACUCCUGACAAGACCGGAUAAUGUCAUGGAGCUGCAUGGCUUUAUGAUGAAAGGAGACGCCUGCGGAGAGCCUUGCGUCCUAUUAGCUAGUUGGUGAGGUAAUGGCUCACCAAGGCGAAGAUAGGUAGCCGGCCUGAGAGGGUGGACGGCCAUAAGGGGACUGAGAUACGGCCCUUACUCCUACGGGAGGCAGCAGUGGGGAAUAUUGGACAAUGGGGGCAACCCUGAUCCAGCAAUUCUGUGUGCACGAAGAAGGUUUUCGGAUUGUAAAGUGCUUUCAGCAGGGAAGAAGUAAGUGACGGUACCUGCAGAAGAAGCGACGGCUAAAUACGUG